rnacentral:rRNA from 1 species
UACGUAGGGCGCAAGCGUUGUCCGGAAUUAUUGGGCGUAAAGAGCUCGAAGGCGGCUUGUCACGUCGGGUGUGAAAGCCCGGGGCUUAACCCCGGGUCUGCAUUCGAUACGGGCUAGCUAGAGUGUGGUAGGGGAGAUCGGAAUUCCUGGUGUAGCGGUGAAAUGCGCAGAUAUCAGGAGGAACACCGGUGGCGAAGGCGGAUCUCUGGGCCAUUACUGACGCUGAGGAGCGAAAGCGUGGGGAGCGAACAGG